rnacentral:lncRNA from 1 species
AAAAACGAAAAAAAAAUGAAAAAAAAAGGAAAAAAAAGAAAAAAAAAAGAAAAAAAAUUAAUUAAUUAAUUAAAUAAAUAAAAUAUAAUAGAAAAAUCUUAGACUUGGACCUCUCUCAUUUGAGCCCAUAAAGCCAUGAAAAUCAGGUUAUAAAAGAGGGAGAACAGACAAAAAAAGAAAGAGAAGCAAAACACUCUGAGGUUUCCUUGGAACAAAACCCUGGACAAAACCUGGAGAGAAACCUAGACAGAGAGAGUGAGAAUUAAUCUGCAGCAACCUCCAGGAAAC